AAUCACAAAAAAAGAGGCCAUGGAAAUCCCCCACGCCGCGCACCACCACCAACUCUCGCCCGCGGCGCCGCUCCGCCACCAAUGGCCGCCGCCGCCGCCGCGGCGGCCACGAGGAAGGACGGCGCCGACGCCCGCCCGCACCCGCAUCGCCUCCGGUCGCCCACCAGGGUCGCCGCGGACUUCGCCAUGGGCGGCGCGGCGGCGGUGGUGGCCAAGACGGGGGCGGCGCCGGUGGAGCGCGUCAAGCUGCUGCUGCAGAACCAGGCCGAGAUGCUGCGCCGGGGCGCCCUCAUGCGGCCCUACCGCGGGAUCGCCGACGCCUUCGCCCGCGUCCUCCGCGAGGAGGGCGCCGCCGCGCUCUGGCGUGGGAACCAGGCGAACGUCAUCCGGUACUUCCCCACCCAGGCCUGCAACUUUGCAUUCAAAGGCUACUUCAAGAGCUUCUUCGGCUAUGACAAGGAGAAAGACGGGAAAUGGAAAUGGCUAGCUGGAAAUGUAGCAUGUGGCAGUGCUGCAGGAGCCACAACAUCAUCCCUGCUAUACCAUCUGGAUUAUGCACGGACGCGGCUAGCCACUGACGCGAUUGAAUCCCGAGCUAACAAACGUCAGUUCAGGGGGUUGCUAGAUGUCUACAAGAAGACACUUUCAACUGAUGGCAUUCGUGGAUUGUACCGAGGCUUCAGUGUGUCUAUUGUGGGUAUCACUCUAUAUCGGGGUCUUUAUUUUGGCAUCUACGACACCAUGAAACCUAUUGUACUAGUAGGGCCACUGGAGGGAAAUUUCCUGGCCAGUUUUGCCUUGGGAUGGACAAUAACUACAUUCUCCGGGGCCUGCGCCUACCCAUUUGAUACACUCCGACGAAGAAUGAUGUUAACUUCAGGGCAGCCAUUCAAAUACAGGAGUGCCUUCCAUGCCGUAAAACAGAUAGUUUCCACCGAAGGGUUCUUCACUCUAUUCAGAGGGGUCGGUGCAAAUAUCCUCUCGGGAAUGGCAGGAGCUGGAGUUCUUGCUGGGUAUGACCAGCUCCAACGGUUUGCAGGCCAGCAUGAUUACAAAAUUGAGAACAAGAUGAAAGGGGCAUUGAAAUGAUGUGCAUAUGAUGGAUCUGCAUGUGCCUGGGAAGAUCCUUGGGUUUUCAGGUUGCGCGCUGGCCAGAUGGGAUGUGUUGUGUGAGCUACAAUUACCGAGCUCACAGAGCAGAACUUGAAAUGCCUGCAAGAGUUAAUAGGAAUGAAUUGAUCAGCACAGCAACAUUUCCUGGAGGGUACAUUGUGGUAUUUUUUGAUUGAUCAGGCGUCAAGACUCUCCUCGCCCGGCCUUGUUGAUCGCUUAGAAGGCCCAACUAAUGAUGAUUUGUAGGCUUCCGCUGAGACUGGAAUAAAUCUGAGAAGUGCUCUAGCUGCUGUGACCUGAUGGUUGUCCGUACAGGCAGUGGCCAAGUGGAGCUAGCAGGAUGCCACUAUGAGGCAAAGUGGCAAACAGAAUAGACUAGGUGAGUUGCUGAACCCAAAAAACAUGGGUGGGUGGCCUGGGCUUCAAAGACCUUGAAGAUAGAUUCAACAUCAUGAUGGUAGCACCUGAAACAUGGGUGGGUUGCUUAUAGAAUCGCUGUGCUGCCCUCAAAUUCUCAUGGACAGAUACUGUUGGAAUUCUGGUGUUCAGCAAGCUGAAGCAAAGUAAGGAAUUUCAUUGCCUGAAGAAGCAUCCUGCAUGGAAUCUGGUAGAUGCAUGACCACCGACAGGUGACAGAACUCACUACAUAAUCUUUGAACAAGGAUACAAUUCGCUCGCCACAGGUAUCCCCAAGUCAAGGAGGCUCUCAAUUUGUAUUGUCAUUUUUGGAGUUGAGGAGAUGUUUUACUACAAGACUGUACAGAGGAAAAAAAUGGUGAUGUACGGUGUUUGUUGUAGGAUGGUGAGUGAUCUGAUUUAGUAGGGUCCUGGAGGCAACAAUGCACAUGUUUUGCAGAGUUAAUGUGGUUGUUUAGGCAGAAAUACAAUACAAGAAUGGAUCUGGAAACUGGAAAGAAUUAUCCACACCCUGCAGCCGAAAAGUACUAUCGGUUUACACGGCAAUAAGGUUGUCACUCACAGGUUGCUUCUAGCCCUGCACAAAUUUCUUCAGAUAGUUAGGAUUCCCACUAAAGAUUAAAAAUCCUUGCUGGUGCCUACUUAGACAAAACGAAAUGAGGGGAUAUAAUGGUGAGAAAUAUGUUUUGUUUUGUUUGUCCCUUGGGUGUAGACACUGAUCCCCUCUUCUUUACUCUGCCCCAUGGCAAGCAGAUAUGUAUGUAUGUAGUUGAUACAGUAUGCAUUUGAUUUUAGCUGUACUCUGGUUGAUACAGAUCCAACUGCGAUUUCUAUUUUCUAUUUAUGAUAGAGCAAGGUAUG